AUACAUACCUGGACGGGGUCUAUGGGCGAUCAAGAAGGCUCAUGGCCUAGGUUGUUGGCCUCCAUUGCACAAAUAAGGAGGUGCAGCAGCCUAACAUCUCCCUUCUGUGGAGAGUGUACGUCAUAAUUUGUGGCAGUUGGGGGCCUGUGUUCGCGCGGCCCCCUC
rfam:Corchorus olitorius cultivar O-4 contig15682, whole genome shotgun sequence.